AUUGAACGCUGGCGGAAUGCUUUACACAUGCAAGUCGAACGGUAGAGGGGGCAACCCCUUGAGAGUGGCGAACGGGUGAGUAAUGUAUCGGAACGUGCCCAGUCGUGGGGGAUAACGUAGUGAAAAUUACGCUAAUACCGCAUACGAUCUAUGGAUGAAAGCGGGGGAUCGCAAGACCUCGCGCGAUUGGAGCGGCCGAUAUCAGAUUAGGUAGUUGGUGGGGUAAAGGCUCACCAAGCCAACGAUCUGUAGCUGGUCUGAGAGGACGACCAGCCACACUGGAACUGAGACACGGUCCAGACUCCUACGGGAGGCAGCAGUGGGGAAUUUUGGACAAUGGACGCAAGUCUGAUCCAGCCAUUCCGCGUGCAGGACGAAGGCCUUCGGGUUGUAAACUGCUUUUGUACGGAACGAAAAAGCUCUUAUUAAUACUAGGAGUCCAUGACGGUACCGUAAGAAUAAGCACCGGCUAACUACGUGCCAGCAGCCGCGGUAAUACGUAGGGUGCAAGCGUUAAUCGGAAUUACUGGGCGUAAAGCGUGCGCAGGCGGUUAUAUAAGACAGAUGUGAAAUCCCCGAGCUUAACUUGGGAACUGCAUUUGUGACUGUAUAGCUAGAGUACGGCAGAGGGGGAUGGAAUUCCGCGUGUAGCAGUGAAAUGCGUAGAUAUGCGGAGGAACACCGAUGGCGAAGGCAAUCCCCUGGGCC
rnacentral:rRNA from 1 species